GCGCCCGUAGCUCAACUGGAUAGAGCGGCGGGCUUCGAACCCGCAGGCUACGUGUUCAAGUCACGUCGGGCGCG
rnacentral:tRNA from 1 species